AGGACGAACGCUGGCGGCGUGCUUAACACAUGCAAGUCGAGCGAGGCCCUCUCUUCGGAGAGGUGCCCUAGCGGCGAACGGGUGAGUAACACGUGGGCAACCUGCCCCUAGCACUGGGAUAAGCCCGGGAAACCGGGUCUAAUACCGGAUAUGACCUUCAAGGGCAUCCUCGAAGGUGUAAAGGAUUCUGGCUAGGGAUGGGCCCGCGGCCUAUCAGCUUGUUGGUGGGGUAAUGGCCCACCAAGGCAACGACGGGUAGCCGGCCUGAGAGGGCGACCGGCCACACUGGGACUGAGACACGGCCCAGACUCCUACGGGAGGCAGCAGUGGGGAAUAUUGCACAAUGGGCGAAAGCCUGAUGCAGCGACGCCGCGUGAGGGAUGACGGCCUCGGUUGUAACCUCUUCAGCUCCGACGAAGCGAAGUGACGGUAGGAGCAGAAGAAGCACCGGCCAACUACGUGCCAGCAGCCGCGGUAA
rnacentral:rRNA from 1 species